rfam:Stegodyphus mimosarum contig81189, whole genome shotgun sequence.
GCCUUCGUAGUGUAGUGGUCAGCACGCUCGGUGCCUAUUCGAGAGGUCCGUGGUUCGAGUCCCGGCGAGGGCU